rnacentral:rRNA from 1 species
AAUGAACGUUGGCGGCGUGGAUUAGGCAUGCAAGUCGAGCGCGAUAUGUAGCAAUACAUGGAGAGCGGCGAAAGGGAGAGUAAUACGUAGGUAUCUACCCUCGGGUCUGGGAUAGCAGCGGGAAACUGCUGGUAAUACCAGAUAACGUCUCCGGACCAAAGGUGUGAUUCCACCUGAGGAGGAGCCUACGGCCUAUUAGCUAGUUGGUAGGGUAACGGCCUACCAAGGCAAAGAUGGGUAUGGGGUGUGAGAGCAUGCCCCCACUCACUGGGACUGAGACACUGCCCAGACACCUACGGGUGGCUGCAGUCGAGAAUCUUCGGCAAUGGGCGAAAGCCUGACCGAGCGACGCCGCGUGCGGGAUGAAGGCCUUCGGGUUGUAAACCGCUGUCGUAGUGGAGGAAAUGUAGGAGAGUUAUCUCUUUCACUUGACUAAUACUAGGAGGAAGGACCGGCUAAUCUCGUGCCAGCAGCCGCCGUAACAC